AUUGAACGCUGGCGGCAUGCUUUACACAUGCAAGUCGAACGGCAGCGCGGGCUUCGGCCUGGCGGCGAGUGGCGAACGGGUGAGUAAUGCAUCGGAACGUGCCCAGUAGUGGGGGAUAGCCCGGCGAAAGCCGGAUUAAUACCGCAUACGACCUGAGGGUGAAAGCGGGGGACCGAAAGGCCUCGCGCUAUUGGAUCGGCCGAUGUCGGAUUAGCUAGUUGGUGGGGUAAAGGCUUACCAAGGCGACGAUCCGUAGCUGGUCUGAGAGGACGACCAGCCACACUGGGACUGAGACACGGCCCAGACUCCUACGGGAGGCAGCAGUGGGGAAUAUUGGACAAUGGGGGCAACCCUGAUCCAGCCAUGCCGCGUGCGGGAAGAAGGCCUUCGGGUUGUAAACCGCUUUUGUUCGGGAAGAAAUCCUCUGGGCUAAUACCCCGGGGGGAUGACGGUACCGGAAGAAUAAGCACCGGCUAACUACGUG
rnacentral:rRNA from 1 species